CAUCAAGCAAAAUCUUCUGGAAAGUUGAUCCAUAGAGGGUGAAAGACCCGUAUGCACAAAUUGUUGUAAGUCAGUGGAAUCCUGAGUAGUGCGGGACCAGAGAAAUCCUGUAUGAAUCUGCCGGUACCAUCCGGUAAGGCUAAAUACUCAUUAGAUACCGAUAGUGAACCAGUACCGUAAGGGAAAGGUGAAAAUUACUCCGAAUAGGAGAGUGAAAUAGUACCUGAAACCGUACACCUACAAGCGGUCGGAGCCAGUAAUGGUGACGGCGUGCCUUUUGCAUAAUGAGCCUACGAGUUACUCCUCACUGGCAAGGUUAAGUUCUUUAAAAACGGAGCCGUAGCGAAAGCGAGUCCAAAAUAGGGCGACUAGUCAGUGGGGGUAGACGCGAAACUUUGUGAUCUAUCCAUGAGCAGGUUGAAGUCCCGUUAACCCGGGAUGGAGGACCGAACCCAUUAACGUUGAAAAGUUAUGGGAUGACUUGUGGAUAGGGGUGAAAGG
rnacentral:rRNA from 1 species